UAUAAGACUGGGAUAACUUCGGGAAACCGGAGCUAAUACCGGAUAACAUUUAGAACCGCAUGGUUCUAAAGUGAAAGAUGGUUUUGCUAUCACUUAUAGAUGGACCCGCGCCGUAUUAGCUAGUUGGUAAGGUAACGGCUUACCAAGGCGACGUUACGUAGCCGACCUGAGAGGGUGAUCGGCCACACUGGAACUGAGACACGGUCCAGACUCCUACGGGAGGCAGCAGUAGGGAAUCUUCCGCAAUGGGCGAAAGCCUGACGGAGCAACGCCGCGUGAGUGAUGAAGGGUUUCGGCUCGUAAAACUCUGUUAUUAGGGAAGAACAAAUGUGUAAGUAACUGUGCACAUCUUGACGGUACCUAAUCAGAAAGCCACGGCUAACUACGUGCCAGCAGCCGCGGUAAUACGUAGGUGGCAAGCGUUAUCCGGAAUUAUUGGGCGUAAAGCGCGCGUAGGCGGUUUCUUAAGUCUGAUGUGAAAGCCCACGGCUCAACCGUGGAGGGUCAUUGGAAACUGGGAAACUUGAGUGCAGAAGAGGAAAGUGGAAUUCCAUGUGUAGCGGUGAAAUGCGCAGAGAUAUGGAGGAACACCAGUGGCGAAGGCGACUUUCUGGUCUGUAACUGACGCUGAUGUGCGAAAGCGUGGGGAACAAACAGGAUUAGAUACCCUGGUAGUCCACGCCGUAAACGAUGAGUGCUAAGUGUUAGGGGGUUUCCGCCCCUUAGUGCUGCAGCUAACGCAUUAAGCACUCCGCCUGGGGAGUACGACCGCAAGGUUGAAACUCAAAG
rnacentral:rRNA from 1 species